rnacentral:rRNA from 1 species
GCCCAAAAGAGGGGGAUAACACUUGGAAACAGGUGCUAAUACCGCAUAACCAUAGUUACCGCAUGGUAACUAUGUAAAAGGUGGCUAUGCUACCGCUUUUGGAUGGGCCCGCGGUGCAUUAGCUAGUUGGUGGGGUAAAGGCUUACCAAGGCAAUGAUGCGUAGCCGAACUGAGAGGUUGAUCGGCCACAUUGGGACUGAGACACGGCCCAAACUCCUACGGGAGGCAGCAGUAGGGAAUCUUCCACAAUGGGCGAAAGCCUGAUGGAGCAACGCCGCGUGGGUGAAGAAGGUCUUCGGAUCGUAAAACCCUGUUGUUAGAGAAGAAAGUGCGUGAGAGUAACUGUUCACGUUUC